UGAGGAAUAUUGGUCAAUGGGCGGGAGCCUGAACCAGCCAAGUCGCGUGAGGGAAGACGGUCCUACGGAUUGUAAACCUCUUUUGCCGGGGAGCAACGGGGUCCUUGCGAGGGCCCGAUGAGAGUACCCGGAGAAAAAGCAUCGGCUAACUCCGUGCCAGCAGCCGCGGUAAUACGGAGGAUGCGAGCGUUAUCCGGAUUUAUUGGGUUUAAAGGGUGCGUAGGCGGGCUGUUAAGUCAGCGGUCAAAUGUCGGGGCUCAACCCCGGCCUGCCGUUGAAACUGGCGGCCUCGAGUGGGCGAGA
rnacentral:rRNA from 1 species